ACACAAACCAGUAUAUGAAACGGAAUCCGCCAUGUUGUAUUUGAAUAAUUACCUGCUUAAUAGAAGCUCUAGAAAGGACGAAAAAGCCGAAACUACCGGAGAGCGGAAGCGCGUCGACAGGGCAGCGCGAUCUUAGGGUAAGGCAGUGCAUGGGACAGAGAAAAUACCAGGAUUUCGGAGCUUUUCUCAUUAAAGCAAAGCCCAGGACUGGAAGCAAAAAUGGCUCUGGAAAUUAGGUGACCCUCGGAUGUUUGGGACCAAUCGAAUUUUAUUUUUGAGAUAUGAGAAAUAUUUUGAAAGUGAAUGUCUACUAGUAAAAAUGUAAUUACAUAUAUCUGCAAUGACAUUUCUGCUAUUAAAAGCUGAAUUAAGGGUA